UACGUAGGGUGCGAGCGUUGUCCGGAAUUAUUGGGCGUAAAGAGCUCGUAGGCGGUCUGUCGCGUCGAUCGUGAAAACUUGAGGCUUAACUCUGAGCUUGCGGUCGAUACGGGCAUGACUGGAGUUCGGCAGGGGAGACUGGAAUUCCUGGUGUAGCGGUGAAAUGCGCAGAUAUCAGGAGGAACACCGGUGGCGAAGGCGACUACCUGGCCUGUUCUUGACGCUGAGGCGCGAAAGCUAGGGGAGCAAACGGG
rnacentral:rRNA from 1 species